UUUUUAUACGCCCGUCUUAAGACGGGACGUAUUAUGUUAUAGGCUUCAUGUCCGUCUGUCUGUCCAGUUAUCAAACUUUGUCAGCUGAUACAUCUUGGGUAGAAGGUGUGUCGCGCACAAAAAGUAGGUCGCUCUGACCUAUAAUUAAAAAGUUAUAGCCAAAUAUGGAAAAAUCCUGUCCGGUCCAUAAAUAGAAAACUAUUAGACUUAGAAUCAUCAAACUUGGCCACUUCAUGCAUCUUAGGUAGAAGGUGUGUCGCGACCUAUUUCAAGGUCACUGUGACCUUUAAUUAAAGUGAAAUUUAAAAAAAAAAAUGUCUUUUUUUUCUCUUCAUUUACACACUCCAAAAAAUGUAAAAGUAUUGCACUAUCCUUGUUAGAAAAAUGUUAAAUCAAGAAAAUACUUAUUUUUUUUAGCAUAUACUUGACAGCAAUCUAUAACAAAUGUAAUGUAUGUUAAAGAAAUUCCACCACUCCCAUGAGUUUAAUUAUCAAGCACUGGUCAAGAAGAAUUUUGAUAACGGAAAAUUGCAUGUCAAAUUAGAGAGAGAAAUUAAUGAGUUUAGUGUGAGGAAGAGCGUCGGUGCUAUCUAUAUCCCUUGAGUAUUGGGCCAAAUGGGUAAUCCUGUUGGAUUAAAAAUAGCUCUUGUUGGCUAGCAUAAGUUUUAAAAUGAAUUUGAUGAGAAGUAAAUAAAAAUAAUUUGAUUUUGCAUAAUAAACUAUUUUGAUAUUACAUAAUAUUAUGAACUUUAAAAAAAUAAUUUUAUGGGGGUGGGAUGGAAUCAGCAUGUCCAUAUGAAUUGCAUAUUAAAACCUGUCUGCCAUUAACUCU